GGCCCUCUAUAUAAAGCCCUGGCGCCUCUGUCCCCGUCCCUGCUGUCUUGUACUCAUCAACCAAUGGUCAGCCAUGGAUACGUUACGGUUUCUAAUUUUGCUCCUAUGGAUGUGUGGCUGCAGAACAAGCCACGCACUGCACAGUCUGCAGGACUCACAAAGAGAAAAUGCUGAGGUGCUGACUUCCUGUGACUUUAAUCAGAACGGUGACCCGUUCUGCAGGUUCACCCAGGACACCGCAGACAGCGGUGACUGGACCCGACACAAAGGUCCAACCCCAACAGAGGGUACUGGGCCGAGUGGAGACUACCCUGAUGGAAAGGGAUUCUACAUCUACCACGAGGGUGACAAUGUGUCCAAUGGGCAGAAGGCUCGUCUGCUGAGCCCUCCCCUCUCAUCAUCGGCCUCGAAGAUCUGUGUCGAGUUUCGAUACUACAUGUACGGCUCAGAUAGUCAGAAUGCGCUGAGGGUUCUGGCCAAGAGGCCCGGUGCAGAGGAAGAGGUCUGGAUCAAGACAGGAUUCCAGAGUCCAUCGUGGCUGAAGAGCUCCAUCACCGUGUCCAAAUCCAGCAGUCAGAGCGUCACUAUUGUGUUUGAGGCUCAGAGAGGCUUCACAUCCUCCUGUGACUCCGCUUUGGACAACAUUGUCAUCACUGAAGGAGUGUGUCCCUCUUGUGUUUCUGGCUGUGACUUUGACACUCUUGGUGACCUUUGUGGGUGGACGACUGAAACGGGGAAUACAAAUGUGUUUGGCUUUGACCAGUGGAUUGGGGAAACAGAAACGCCUGGCACCGGACCCGAUGACGACUUCUCCAAACCUGGAUUGGGUGCCUACAUGUUGAUGGAUUCUUUGGAAGCCAUCCCUGGUGUUAGUUCUCAGAUCAUAAGUCCUCUAUUGACCCCCCCCACUGGUUGUCUGGACCUCAUCUUCUACUACUACUUGUAUGGCACCAGCGCCAACAUGCAGCUCAGUGUCCACACCAUCACCGCAGGUGGGAGUCUUGGACCUGCUCUUUUCACUGUGAGGGGCAACCAGGGUCAGGGCUGGAAGCCUGCAGAAGUCCGCUACCUGGGAACAGCUGCUAUUCAGUUUGCUAUUGUGGGUACCUUUGGAGAAACUACUGAGACAGAUAUUGCUGUUGAUGCUGUGUGUGUCAUGGCCUGCAAAGCUCAGCCAAUAACAACUCCAAGACCAAGUACACCUCAACCUACAACUCCAGCUCCAACUACAACAAAACCAACAACACCAAAACCAGCAACUCCUGGGCCAACAACGCCAAAACCUCCAACUCCUGGGUCAACUACGCAAAAACCAGCACCUCCUGUGUCGACGACGCCAAAACCAGCAACUCCUGGGCCGACGACGCCAAAACCUCCAACUCCUGGGUCAACUACGCAAAAACCAGCACCUCCUGUGUCGACGACGCCAAAACCAGCAACUCCUGGGCCGACGACGCCAAAGCCAGCAACUCCUGGGCCGACGACGCCAAAGCCAGCAACUCCUGGGCCGACGACGCCAAAGCCAGCAACUCCUGGGCCGACAACGCCAAAGCCUGCAACUCCUGGGUCAACUACGCAAAAACCAGCACCUCCUGGGUCGACGACGCCAAAACCAGCAACUCCUGGGCGGACUACGCCAAAGCCAGCAACUCCUGGGCCGACAACGCCAAAACCUGCAACUCCUGGGCCGACUACGCCAAAGCCAGCAACUCCUGGGCUGACAACGCCAAAACCAGCAACUCCUAGGCCUACGACGCCAAAGCCAGCAACUCCUGGGCCGACUACGCCAAAACCAGCAACUCCUGGGCCGACGACGCCAAAGCCAGCAACUCCUGGGCCGACAACGCCAAAACCUGCAACUCCUGGGCCGACUACGCCAAAGCCAGCAACUCCUGGGCUGACAACGCCAAAACCAGCAACUCCUAGGCCUACGACGCCAAAGCCAGCAACUCCUGGGCCGACUACGCCAAAACCAGCAACUCCUGGGCCGACGACGGCAAAGCCAGCAACUCCUGGGCGGACUACGCCAAAGCCAGCAACUCCUGGGCCGACGACGCCAAAACCAGCAACACCUGGGCUGACAACGCCAAAACCAGCAACUCCUAGGCCUACAACGCCAAAGCCAGCAACUCCUGGGCCGACGACGCCAAAACCAGCAACUCCUGGGCCGACGACGCCAAAGCCAGCAACUCCUGGGCGGACUACGCCAAAACCAGCAACUCCUGGGCCGACGACGCCAAAACCAGCAACUCCUGGGCUGACAACGCCAAAACCAGCAACUCCUAGGCCUACAACGCCAAAACCAGCAACUCCUGGGUCAACUACGCCAAAACCAGCAACUCCAGGACCAACUACAAAGCCACCAAAACCAUGUCCUCCUGAUGCAGAGUAUAUAGACUGUGGUCCAGCUUGUAUUCCCACCUGUAUGGAGCCAUCUGCCAAUUGUUCUGGCCCCUGUAUCAGUGGUUGCUUCUGCAAACCUGGGUUUGUCUUCAAGGGACAGCGCUGUGUGCCACUGGAGAAAUGUGGUUGUCUUGAUGACCAGAAUAACUACUAUGAGCCUGGCGAGAUCAUAUCUGGAGAUGGCUGCUCAAAGCUUUGUCGCUGUGCAGGGAACUACACUUUGCAAUGUGUUGAUAAUUCCUGUGACCCCACAGAAGAGUGUCGCAACAUUAAUGGUGUUGCAAGCUGCUAUCCCAAAGGUACCUCCACAUGCAUAGCAUCUGGUGAUCCCCACUACACCACCUUUGACAAGCGCAAGUACAACUUCAUGGGCAACUGCAGCUAUCUGAUGUCUAAACCCUGCAACGAAACGGCUCUGCCACACUUUGAGGUCCAUGCUGACAACGAAAAUCGCUACAACAGGCCCGCCAUCUCUUAUAUAAAGGCUGUACAUGUAUAUGUACAGGGGAUGAAGAUCUCUAUUCUCAACGGUGGCACUGUGCAGGUAAAUGGGACCAACGUAAACCUGCCAGUUACUCUGUCCCCUAGUGUUUCAGUGUUCAAGUCAGGAAAACACUACACUGUGUCCAUGAAGUUUGGUGUGACUGUUCGCUACGAUGGAAACCACUUCAUGGACAUCAAAGUGAUCAAAGACUAUCAGAGCAAGCUGUGUGGACUGUGUGGAGAUUAUGAUGGAGAUAUCAAAGAUGACUACCGUAAGCCAGAUGGCUCAUUGACCAACAAUGUCAAUGACUUUGGACACAGCUGGAACACGGACCCAGAGUGUAAUAAGAAACCCAACACGACCGUCCCUGAGUGUGACGAAGAAGAGCAGGAGCUGUACGAGAGCUCAGGAUACUGUGGCAUCCUGCUGGACAAAAAUGGCCCCUUUGCUGAGUGCCACCCCAAAGUCAACCCCAAUAAUUACUUCAGGGACUGUCUCUUUGACCUGUGUGAGCUGGAUGGAGCCAAGCCCAUUCUGUGCGAAGCCAUUGAAGCCUACGUCAAUGAAUGCCAGGACCGUCAAGUCAACAUUGGUCCCUGGAGGAAUGAAACCUUCUGCCCCCUGAGUUGCACCCCCAACAGCCACUACGAGCCCUGUGCAGACCCCUGUCCGGAGACGUGCUCUGGGAAACCUCCCUCCUGUGGUGGGCCCUGCUCUGAGGCCUGUGUGUGUGACCCCGGCUACGUCCUGAGUGCCGGCAAGUGUGUCAGAAAAACUUCAUGUGGCUGCAAAUACAACAACGGCCAGUAUUAUGAGCCUGGAGAGGAGUUUUUUGUGGAGGACUGUAAGCUGAAGUGUAGGUGUGAUGUUCCCUUUGUUACCUGUGUGGCCUCGGAGUGCCCCCCAAUGCAUGAGUGUAAACUCCAGGCUGGGGAGUUGGGCUGCUAUCCCACUGGCUCUCAGGACUGUGUGGUCUCUGGAGAUCCUCACUAUAACACGUUCGACAAGAAGUUCUACAGCUUCAUGGGAACAUGCACCUACACACUGGCCAGAACCUGCAAGAACAACACAGGUCCCUGGUUCUCAGUGGAGGCGAAGAAUGAGGAGAGAGGAGUGUCAGGUGUGUCGUACCUGAGGAAACUCUACGUGACUGUGAAUGGAAUCACUGUGACACUGGUGAAGGCCAGGAGGACGCUGGUGAAUGGACUGCGGGUGGCCCUCCCUAACUCCCCCUCUCCUCUCAUGACUAUCAGCCUGGCUGGUCAGUACAUCACCCUACAGACGACCUUUGGCCUCCAGGUGCGUUGGGAUGGAAACCAUUAUGCCAAGAUCUCCGUGCCCAGCUCCUACUACGACCAGAUGUGUGGCCUCUGCGGCGACUACGAUGGGAACCCGGACAAUGACUUCACCAAACCAGAUGGCUCUCUGGUCGCAAAUGUCAACGACUUCGGGAACAGCUGGCAGACCAAAGAGGAUGAGGAUGAUUCGUGUGUCCCAGGCACCAAGCCUGACCCAGACUGUGACCCCAAACUACAGGCUGAGGUGGAGAAACCAGACAAAUGUGGCAAAAUUAAAGACCCUGCCGGACCCUUCAGGGAGUGUAUUCGAGUGGUGGAUCCCACUCCGUUCUUCCAGAGCUGUGUGUAUGACAUGUGUCAGUUCAAUGGCCAGCAGCAUGUGCUGUGUGACCAGCUCCAGGCCUACACUGAUGCCUGCCAGAACGCCGGAGCCAAAGUCCACCCGUGGAGGACUCCAGACUUCUGCCCCCUGGACUGUCCCCCCAACAGCUCCUACUCUCUGUGCGUGAGCUCGUGUCCCGAGACGUGCCUGGGAGUGGUCGGACCACCGGGCUGCGACAAAGUGUGUGUGGAGGGUUGCGAGUGUAACCCGGGCUUCAUCCUCAGCAAUGACAAGUGCGUGGCACUGAAGGACUGCGGCUGCGUGGACACCAGCGGAACCUAUCACCCUGUGGGGGACGACUGGCUCUUGGAGGGUUGUGAGCAGAAGUGUGAAUGUCAAAGUGGAGGUUCCAUCCAGUGUCACAACAGCAGCUGUAAACCAACCACUGAGAGCUGCCAGCUGCAAGACGGAGAAUAUAAAUGCCGCCCUCUAGGAAGUGGUAUCUGCUCAGUAUCUGGUGAUCCUCACUAUAUCACCUUUGACAAAUUCACCCACCAUUACAUGGGAGCCUGCUCCUACACCUUGACCAAGCCCUGCAACGCUUCCUCCGACAUGCCGUACUUCAGUGUGGACACCCAGAAUGAGCACAGGGGAAGCAAUAGGCGGGUCUCCUACGUCAGGGCUGUGGUGAUCAACGUGAGCGGUGUGACUGUCAUCCUCGGCAAGGGCCGUACCGUCCAGGUCAAUGGGACAGUGGUUGUCCCACCUGUCAGCUCCAUCAGUGGAGUUCAAAUCUUUUUGAGUGGAAAGUUUGUCGUCCUGGAGACGGACUUCGGUCUGAGGGUGCGUUUUGAUGGCAGCCACCAUGCUGACGUCACCGUGCCGAGCUCCUUCAAUGGCCUGCUCUGCGGCAUGUGUGGAAAUUUCAACGGGAAACCGGGAGAUGACAACUUGAAACCAGACAAUACGCCAGCCGCCAACACCAAUGAGUUGGGAGACAGCUGGCAAGUUCCUGACCAGCGGCCUGACUGCACCAAUGGUGGAGAACAGGAAGACUGUGAUAAAGAGGUGGAGGAGGAGGCCAAGAAGCCCACCAGCUGCGGCAUGAUCACCGAUCCCAAUGGUAUCUUUAAACGUUGCCACGCCGUUGUGCCCCCCAACCCGUACUUUGGAAACUGUGUGUACGACAUGUGUGCCACUGGAGGUCAGACCGUGGCCCUGUGCCAGGCCGUAGAGAGCUAUGCUGACAUGUGUGCUGCUGCAGGAGUCCCCAUCGCAUGGAGAAACAACACCUUCUGUCCUCUGAAGUGCCCCCCGGGCAGUCAGUACACCCCCUGUGGACCCGCCUGUCCCCAGCCCAGCUGUCAGGACCCCGCGGGCCCCGGUGGCUCCUGCAACCAGCCCUGUGUGGAGGGAUGCAUCUGUAAGUCGGGCCUGGUCCUCAGCGGAGACAAAUGUGUCCCACUCAGUGAGUGUGGAUGUAUGGAUGAAGACGGAAAGUACAGGCCGACGGGAGACACCUGGUUCUCAGAGAUGGACUGCUCGGAGCGCUGUCAGUGUCAUGGCAACCACAACAUCACGUGCGAGCCGUGGCAGUGCAGCCCUGCACAGGAGUGCAAGGUGGUGGAGGGAGUUCUGGACUGUCACUCUACAGGUAGAGGAGUGUGUCACGUGGCCGGAGAUCCUCACUACUACACCUUCGACGGCGUGAUGCACACAUUCAUGGGCACCUGCACUUAUACAUUAGUGGAGGUGUGUAACACCACUAAGGUCAAUCCCUUUAAGAUAGUGGCUAAAAAUGAGGAGCGUGGCCAGCCAGAGGCCUCUUAUGUUCGCUCUGUCAAAGUCUACCUGCCCGACGAAAGUGUGGUUGAACUGCAGAAGAGCCGCAGAGUUCUGCUAAAUGGACGACGGGUGCGAACCCCAGUGUCCACUGACAUUGCCAAGGUGAUAACAAGUGGCUCCUACAGUCUGCUGGACACCAACUUUGGUCUGCAGGUGAAGUUUGAUGGAGUCCACCACCUGGAGAUCACAGUUCCUGGACAAUACUUCAACAAGCUUUGUGGCAUGUGUGGGAACUACAACCACAAUUCGACUGAUGACAACCUGAUGCCCAACAAGAAACCAGCCAAGGAUGCGAUUGAACUGGGCAACAGCUGGAAAUCCGAUGGCGACAGCGACCCUGGCUGUCAGCCGGACACUCGUCCAGACGUCCACCCCAACUGCACUGCAGAGGAGGAGAAGGGCUACGAAGCCCAGUGCGCGGGGGUCAUCCUGUCCGACCGCUUCAGGCCCUGCCACUCCCUGCUGCCCCCCGAAGCCUUUCUGGGCAACUGUGUCUACGACAUGUGCGAGUACAACGGAAUGCAGGCGACGCUCUGUGACAACGUGGAGGCGUACGCUCAGGCCUGUCAGAGCGCUGGGGUCACCAUCAGCUGGAGGAACAACACCUUCUGUCCCCUGCCCUGCCCACCCGACAGCUCCUACUCAGACUGUACCGACCCCUGUCCCCCAACCUGCUCCGACCUCUUCCCCAGCUCCUGCCACCUCCCUUCGACCACCUGUGUGGAGGGCUGCAAGUGUGACCCUGGAUAUGUGCUCAGCGACAACAAGUGUGUCCCUCUGCGUAAAUGUGGCUGUCUGGACUCGGACGGAGAGUACCAUGACGUGGGAGACUCGUGGCUGACAGAUAAAUGUGCUGACUCAUGCAUCUGUAACCUUGGCGGCAACAUCACCUGUAAGGGCCACAGCUGUAAUUCCAACUCGGUGUGUGCCCUGGACAAAGAUGGUGACCUGUACUGCAAACCCUCGAAAUUCAACAAGUGCAGCGUCUCUGGAGAUCCUCACUACCGAACAUUUGAUGGCUUCACCCAUCACUUCCAGGGCCCGUACACCUAUGUCCUGACUCAGGGGAACAAUCUCGACUCCUCCCUGUCGCCCCUGGUGGUGAGGGGGAAGAACGUCAGACGUGGAGGCAACAGGAGGGUGUCGUUCCUGGAUCAGAUGUACAUUGAUGUUUACGGUGUCAACGUUCGAUUCCUGCAGAAGAAGGCCGUCCUGGUGAACGGGGAGCGCGUCGCACCUCCCCUCAGUCCAGUUGAUGGUUUGACCAUCACGAUGAACUCCAGACAGGUGCAGCUCACCACUGUCUUUGGUCUCACUGUACGUUUCGAUGGCAACACUCGCGGAGAGAUCAUACUGCCAAGCACCUACAAGAACUCUGUCAGAGGGUUGUGUGGAAACUACGAUGGCUUAAGCAGGAAUGAGUACAUGAAGCCCGAUGGGACGGUGGUCCGGAACCUGAACUCGUUUGGAGAAAGCUGGAGGGUCAGUGACCGACAGGCUGACGGACCGAGGAUCUACAGCCUUCCUCACACAGUCCAUGUCCAAAGGCGAGAAGUGGACACCGAUCCAGACUCAGGGUUUGAGACGUCCGACUGCUCUGAGACUCAGCUCAGUGAUUACAAGAGCGCGGAUCAGUGUGGAGCGCUGUCUGAUUCCAUGGGACCUUUUGCCACCUGCCAUGCCACCCUGUCACCCAGCUCCUACCAGGACGACUGUGUGUUUGACCUGUGUGCGGAGAGCGGCAGCGCAGCACUGCGUUGUGCCAGCUAUGAAGCGUACGCUGCAGCGUGUCAGGAAGCUGGAGUCAAGCUGGGAUCCUGGAGGCAGAAGCUGGGCUGUGUCCUCUCCUGUGGCGCCAACAGCACCUACUCCUCCUGCAUGUCACCGUGCCCAGCCUCCUGCGCCGACCUGGCGGCCCCCUCCGAGUGCGACACCACUUCCUGUGUGGAGGGCUGCCAGUGUGCCAGGGGCUUCGUCAUGAGCGAGGGGAUCUGUGUGCCGUACCCGGAGUGCGGCUGCACCUUCCUCAACAGAUACUACCCUCUGAAGGAGACAUUUGUGACUGAGGACUGUUCUCAGUCCUGUGAAUGCAGCAACACCGGAGCCGUGUGCCAACCCAAGACCUGCCAGGAAAGUUACGUGUGCACAGUGUAUGACUUCAAACGUGACUGCUACAAAGCGAGUCCCUGCCUCUCUUACCCCUGUCUGAACGGAGGAGCGUGUACGGCGGGCAGCAACAGCACGUACAGCUGCGAGUGUGCAGAUGGCUUCCAGGGCCCGAACUGUGAGACGGAGAAAACACAGGGGGAAGGACUGGAAACUGGGUGGAUAGUCCUGAUCGUGGUUCUGGUCACCAUCACCAUCAUCACUGUGAUCAUCGUUGUGUGUGUUUGCAUGCGCCAAGCCAGGUCAAAGAUUUACGUAAUUGAGAAGCAGCACCUUUACCUGAGAUCAAACUGAAUCAGCGAUGGGGAGAGGCGGGUUUGAUUUCUCUGAAAAAGAAGUGCGAGGAUAAAAAACUCGACAUGAAGUCAAGUGUCCAAUAUAGCAUGCAUACAAAUGACCAGGGAAACGACAAAGUGACCAGCAUUUGAUGACAAACUGAUCAACCUGUUGACACCUGCUGCACCAAGGCCAACAUGAAACCGUCUCCUCUGAGGCCCGUUUGGUGGAAUUCCCAGAGAAAAAUAAAAGUUUGCAAAAACAUAAAGGAUGUAUUUUUGUCUGAAUAACAUAUAGAUAUCCUUCAUGUAACCUUUAUUUUUCAUAACUUGUGCUUUUGAAGAUGUGUAUAUGUUUAAUUAUCGGAAGAGUGUGCACCGUGUUGAUGUAAUGUGAUUUUGGAGUAUUUAAGUAUUUUGGAAUGAAAAUGUGUGGGGGAAAAGAAA